CCCCCCCCCCCACACACUCGUUCUAAACAAAUUUCUCGAACUGGCUUCGACUGGCUCUGAAAUUAGCUCGUUAGCCUUGUAGCUGACAGCUAGCUGAAAAUGCCAAUACCUCAUUUGUAUGCGUCUGUGGAGCCUUCAAAAUAACAGUCGAUUGCGCAAUAUGGUUGACAGAAUCAGUGUUCUUUGUGCGCCAAUCCUUGGAAUCAGAUAACGCACUACAAUGUGUUCAUGCUUAAGUUUUUGUGUUUCAGUAAUACUAAUUAGGGAUUUAGCUAUUAUAUAUGAUAGUUCUAAGUACCACCUUUCAUUAGAGAUAACAAUUAUGAAAAAUAAUACCUUUUUAUCCUGAGUAUUUGACCUUGGUUACAAAGGGUCAUUUUGGAGUCUCCAAAAGGCCCUUUUAGAAAAUGCCUGGAUGUACUCUUAUAAAAACAUGUGUCAAAUAUGAAUAUAUUGUGGUAUUAUGUUUGACUUUUGAAUUUGAAUUGGGUAAGGCUUCAACCUGUGGUCCAAUUUAGUCUUCCAGCUAAUACCUACCACCUCUAGGCCUCUUCAGGCCUCUGUUUUCAAAACAAAAUCUAGGCGGAAAUAUAAAUUUUCACUUUCCUUGUGUUCAAGCUUCUAUUACUCAACACUAGUAGGACUGACAGGGGUCCUGACAACAGGGGAAAUAACUUCAGAGUGUCAGCUUUCAAAAGAGAUCAUUUACAUGCAUGUACUCCAAAUGGUUCAAGAACAGCUUCAAAUUUACUUUGGGUAUGCUGUUUAGGCGUUUUUAGGCACAUUUAACAGGAGGCUUAACUGUACAUUAUUUAAAUACAUACUAUUCAUAAUGACGGUGUUUGUCUUGGCCUUGUAAGUGACAUGCCAGUGUAUAUCAGAUUGUUGACCUCAAAUACCGCAUCAGAUUGUAAGGAGCUCAAUAUAGCACAUACCAGGCAAGAAUAGCAGAUCUAAUACGGUGUUGGUUCCUGUAAAGGGGGAGUGUGUGCGUGCCACUACUGUUCCUCCUGCCCCUAUCGUCAGUGCCAUCUUCCACUGAAGCCUGCAGGAUUUACCACCACUACGUGCCUGCAAUCAUAUUCCUCUUGUGGGCAAACAGAGGAAGUGGGCACUAUGGUGCCCAGAGCUUCCCCGGGAGACUCAACACGCCCGAACAUUACACCAAUGGAUAAGGGGAGUGAGGGAGGGGAACUGAAAAAAGAGAGAGAAGAAGGGAGAAGAAGGAGAUCAGAAAAUGACAGGAUAUCCCGAGGCCGAACAGUAGCACACGAGUCGCAUAUACUUUGAACAUGGAAUAAUUGCAGUGGCUCUUAAUUGGCAGUUGGUUGUUAGGAACUGGCUGGGGAUCAAAUCGGAAUAAGCUGUUCACACCUGACAGACAAAGUAAUAAGCCUGUUGGCAGAUUGAUUUGUAGCCCAGUUUUAAAGUGACAUGGAAACAAAGCAUAAGAGAACUCAAACAGGACCUCUACACUUUCUGUAGCGGUCUGCCAAAAGUCCUCCACCGCAGCCUCAAAUUCUCAUCAUCCACUGGUCAAUCAUUAACUUAAACUCAACUUGUUCUGUCAGUCACAGGGUUUGCAGCCCUUGGUGCAUGCAGGGAGGGUAGUUUUGACAGAGUGUUCUCAUCUGGGAACUGGAGACCCGCAGGGUGCAGAGAGAGGCAGCACGCCAAGAGAGGAGGAGAACAGGUAAAGCAGUUUCCUCCCUGUGUUACUGUAAGCAGGUGGAGGAGGAGGUGGAUGGGUUAAAUAGGGUGGGUGGAAAGAGAGGGAGGGAGGAAGAGAGAGUAAGGUAAAGGAGAGAGGCAGGUAGGGAGGGGGCAGGGUGGAGGCUUGUUGUCGUGUUUGUAUUUGCAGGUAGCAGAGCCCCCGAGCCAAAGAUUGGGUGUGUGGAGGGAGAACAGCUUGCUCCUACGGGGACUACAGUUUAUUUAGGACAGUUCAUCCGUAUGAAGCAUUGGCAUGGUCAUCAUCGUUGCCACCAGGUUCAUCAAACCCGUCAAAACCAGGGACAGGUGUUGUUUGUAAUUCCAGUCUGGAAGCAUGUCAGCAUCACCACCUAUCAGGCCAUCAAGCUUCUGUUUUCUCCUUUGCGUGUAAUGAAGCCAAUGUGUCUCAGUCCUGGCAUGCACAAAUGAUUAACUGGUGGUGAACAGACCUGAUAAAGAGAUAAUGGCACACAAGUGCUCCACCGCUAUGUGCGUGUACCUUUCAGACCUGGCCGUCCUCACACGAGACAAUUACUCCACUCUUCAAUUUGCAUUCCCACCAAGACCCUUCCGGCAAAGUAAGAAUAAAUGUAAGAAACGUUAUAACUUUACAAACAUUGAACAGAGUCAACUUCUCUGUCAUCCGUAGAGUGGAACGCUAGUCUGUCACAGUCAUAAAACAUUUGGUUUCUUCAAAAACAAUGCAGUUGCACUCCUGUCCAGGUCAGGUGGGUUGAACCAGGAUGGUUCUGAGGAAAUGCUGGAACUCUUUCAAGUCGACCAGUGGAGUGAUAUGUUGGAGAGUGUAUCUAAGGGGCACUCAUGUGGGCUUACUAUGGAUGUUUAUGAGUGCUCACAGGAAAGCUGCAUAUGAAGCAAUCACCAAAGACUGCUUUAGGAAGAGGAAGCUGGAAAGUGAAUAACACAACAAUACCUCCUUAUUGCUGAUUAUAGUAGAGACUAUUGAUGACGGGGCUACUCUCUUUAGCGGCACAGCCUCGGGUCACUUCCGGUUAGUGCCUUAUACCUGGGAAAGCCCACAGAACAGCUGCAGCUUACAAGUACUAAAACAGAGACAUGGCCCUAUAGUGAAAUGUACUACUGCUAUUGCACUUACUACACUACUAUACUCACUACUACUACAACUCUACAACUCUCACUACUUACUACAACUCUACUACUACUUCACUUAUGAUUACUACACUAUCCCACUAACCACUACUGCUGACCACUACACUUACUACCAUGCUUAGAAACUUAGCUUAGCUACAGUGUAACUUAGCCACAAUUACUGCUGCUACACUACUACUGCUUAAGUACCACUGGGACUAUGUGAAUGUAUGAAUAAUAGUGACAAUGCAUUUAGCAGAAUUUACUGAGAGUGAGCAGGAUCAAUAGUUUUGUGUUGAUGUUUAAGUUUAAAUGUGUGUUUUUAUGAAUGUGUGUGUGCUUGUAUUUGUGUAUAUGUAUUGUAGAGUCUGUGUAUUUUUGCAAGUUUUUGUGUUUGUGGGACUAUGUGUGUUUGACAAUGUAGCCUACAUCUGUGUGUGUACACACACCAACACAGUAGCCGGUAGAGCCGGACAUCCUGUGCUGGCAGGGUAAGGAGUAUUGUUAUGCUUGAAGCAGGUUCAAACAAUUACUCAACAGGGCCCUAGGGAUAAGCCUUUGCUGUCCAAGAAAAACACUACUCACUGCAGACACACAUGCCUUACUACACACCCCACAUAGAUACAAACAUACUUCGCCACAUGCACAAGCCAACAGAAUUAUAUACAUACACCUCCCAAACUAUGCACAUGCAAAAAAAGCAUUCCCACAAUUACACAAACGCACACAGACACCCCCCCCCCCCCACACACACACACACACACGCACACAUACAUCAUUGUCUAUAGACUCAAGGUGGGGGCCUUAAGACGAGGCAUAGUUAAACAGAAGUUGUUCUGUAUACUCUCUAAAUACUGUGCACAACAUGCAUUUUUUGUCAAGCACAUGCUUUGACGUUUGUAUAUAUAUGAUAUGAUAUGAUUGUUUCCUUGUACAGUUUUUGUUGACAGGACCAUUUUGUUAUAAAGGCUUUGUGAGUUACUUUUUUAAAUGCUCACUAUUUAUUUAUUGUUUGAUUGAGGCCUAAUUAUUACCAGUGUGUUUUUACCAUAUGGGGUCAAUGUAAUACAAAUCAUGUGAAAAAAAUACAGGACAGAACAAUGAGACUUAUUUAGCCUAUUAUUGUUUCAUACGGCUAUUAUUAUCCUAAGCAUCAAAGCUAGGCCUAUAGGCAACAUAUAGAACGGAAAUAUGCAUACAAAUGAACUGAUUUCUAUAGAGGAAAUCCAUGCGGAAUCUAGCCAAUCACUGUGAACUUUGGUAUUUACACAACAGUAGCGUGCUUCCCCAAAACGGACCGUGAUUGUUUUGAUAAAACGGGUGACCCGCGAGCCUGGCCGAUGCCUCCCUCUGCUCUUUUUGUACACAACCUCGCGACCCUUGGCACGGCCAGAGCAAACAGAGUCUGCACGCAACGGGCUGUGGCACAAUGAUUAACCCGUGGAUGUGCUGUCGACUCAUUCAUUGGCUUGCAAGCAGUCCGCUGUGAGAAGAGAGGGUCUCUGAGUCAGCGAGAAAACAACGUAGGCCUAUGGCACCUUCGUGCCCAAAUAUAGAGAGGUGACAGAAAGAUGGAUGACCGAGAUAUUUCUGCACGCAACUAUUGUUAUCCCCGCAGAACUGAACAUUGGCUAGCACAAGGACUGCUGGAGACGGAGACUGUUAGCUCAGUUACUAAUCUGGACUGGUAUACACUGUUGUCAGCAGGGGGAAGGUGAUACAAUUACUCCCCCUUCUCCCCCGUCCGCUGUCAUGCUCCCUAACCAACCUCUUUGUGGUGGCUGCGAGUCAGAAUGUUGCUCAAUUACAGCUUGAGUGUGUGUACGAUUGCGUGUUGAGAGGCGAUAACAAGUAACGUUUAGCUGAUCUUGAUACCUAAAUGUUGACCUUAUUUUAUAUCGAUUCUCACGCUAUGGUUUAGCUCAAAGGUCAUCAGUUUCUUUAAUUAUUGCCCCCAGUAGUAUGUUAAGCU